rnacentral:ncRNA from 1 species
CUAAUAACUCCGAGCCUCCUGACCUAAAGCUUUAGCCAUGGUCAUUGGGCCGCAAGUAUACUUGCCGGGGUGCUGACGGAAACGGAUGCGCCUUCCUUAUUGAAAAGGAGUAACAAUGAA